rnacentral:rRNA from 1 species
UACAGAGGUCUGCGAGCGUUAGGCGGAAUCACUGGGCUUAAAGCGUGUGUAGGCGGAUCGGUAAAGUACCUUGUGAAAUCCCACAGCUUAACUGUGGAACUGCUUGGUAUACUGCCAGUCUUGAGCCAGCUAGGGGCGACCGGAACAAAUGGUGGAGCGGUGAAAAUGCGUAGAUAUCAUUUGGAACGCCAAUGGUGAAAACAGGUCGCUGGGGCUGUGCUGACGCUGAGACACGAAAGCCAGGGGAGCGAACGGG